UCUCUCUCUCUCUCUCUGCAUUUCUAAUUUCUUCCAUCAACUUCCUAUUCUUGACUUCACUGAUCUCGUCUCUAUAUAUAUAUAAUUACAUAAUGAGAUACCUAUUUUCAUCGACCAAUCCAAGUGAUUGUAUAUUAACUUAUAUAUAUAUAUAUAUAUACUUUCAUUAGUUAAUUAAUCUUGUUUAUGUUUCAUUAGUAAAGAUAAAUUCUUGAUCAUAAUUGGUUUAAUUAGUCUCAAUUUAAUUUAAUUUCUCCAAAAUAAGUCUUAACUUAAUCAUUCUUAAUUUUAUUAAUCUAAAUCAAAUUUUUAAUUAAACCCUUAUAAGGCUCUAUAUAUUAAACUGAUUUAAAAUAACAUCCCCUAUUAGAUGAAUCACUACCUGAAUUCUAAUUAAUUAAUCAUGUCUAAAUAUUAUUGGGUUUGAUUCGUAUAUGAUUUUAUAAUAGAGUUAUUUUGGAAUUAGAAAUUGAAAGCCUAAAUGGCUUAAGAAUGUGAAAUUGAUGAGUUUAAUCAGUUUAAUUUCGAGUAUUAGACCAUAUGGGAGUUUAAUUAAAUAUUCGAUUCACUUUAGUAAAAUUAAGAUUUGGUUAAUUGGGUCCAAGUUUGAGUUAAUUAAAUUAUGAGGAUUGGGAAUUGUGGUUAUUCUGAAUUAAAUUUACUUAAGAGGUACCCAAUUUGAAUAUGUAAUUUAUUGACGGAAAUUUUGAGUCUGAUCAGGCUUAAAUGAUUUGGGAAACUAAAAUUGAUAAUGGAAAUAAGUUUAAUUUAAUAUUUGGAGCCUUUUGGGAGUUUGAUUAAAAAUCCGAUUCAGAUUGAUAAAUUUAAUUAUGAUUGAUUGGGCCUUAAUUGAAGUUGAGGAAUUUGUGAUUAGUUACGAUUAAUUCUAAAUAAAUGGAGUUAUACAUGAUUAAUUAAUUAGAAUUCAUGUAGUGAUUCGUCUAAUAGGGGAUUUUAUUUUAAAUCAGUUUAAUAUGUACAGCCUUAUAAGGGUUUAAUUAAAAAUUUAAUUCAGAUUAAUAAAAUUAAGAAUGAUUAAAUUAAGACUUAUUUUGGAGAAAUUAGAUUAAAUUAAGACUAAUUAAAGCAGUUAUGGUCAAGGAUUUAUCUUUCUUAAUGAAACAUAAACAAGAUUAAUUAACUAAUGAAAGUAUAUAUAUAUAUAUAUAUAAGUUAAUAUACAAUCACUUGGAUUGGUCGAUGAAAAUAGGUAUCUCAUUAUGUAAUUAUAUAUAUAUAGAGACGAGAUCAGUGAAGUCAAGAAUAGGAAGUUGAUGGAAGAAAUAAGAAAUGCAGAGAGAGAGAGAGAGAGAGAGAGAGAGAGAGAGAGAGAGAGAGAGAGAGGGGGGGGAGAAAAACAGAGAGAGAGAGGCGGAGAGAGAGAGAGAGAGAAUUCAAAUAUAUGUACUGGAAAUGAUGAAGAAAGGCUAAGGAAAAGCUUGGAAAAGUACAACGUUGAAGAUGAGUUCAAGAUUUUGUCAAGAAUUCGUCAAGUUGAAAAUUUUAGGGAUCAGAAGUCAAAGUUGAUUAACUGCUUGAGCGGUCUUUCUUGCACUCAAGCGAAGAAGUGGUUCAUCCAAUAUCUCUGCCUGCAUUUAAAACUUCUGGAAAACAUGUUUUACCGCUCGAGCAAUAGAUGUUGUAAGUGGUUAAUCUAUAUGUGAGUAUCGCCUUUAGUCACACUGCUCAAGCGGUAAAGUGAGCGCUCGAGCGGUCUUUACGACUCUGUUUAGUAUAAAGUGUGUUGUUUGUUAUUUUUAGGAUUUAACCCGUCUAGAUUCUUAGAGAUGAUGAAAAAACGAAGUAUUCAAUAUUGGAGGGUGUUUAUAUAUAAUUUUCCUUGAUGUAUAGGAGGUGAUCGAAUAAUCAAUAAACUACAUAUUGAUGAACAUCAAGGCUUGGUUUUGUUCUCUUAUUCACAAAAAGAAAGAGGUGUUCAUCGGUGAAUUUCGAGGAACUUGGAUUGAAGCUUUGAUGAAUUCCAAAAUUGCUCAUCAUCAAGGAUUCAACGGCGGCAUUGUGGAUUCAACAUUGGGAAACACAAUUCUGAGAUGAAGACGAUAGUAGAAAAGGCACAUCAGGUUCGGUUCAAUUCUGGUGUAGAUUCCUAAGUAAUUGAGAAUUCUCAUGUAUAAUUAUUUUUGUCUUCUUAAUGGAUUAUUUUGUUGUCUU